rnacentral:rRNA from 1 species
UGGGGAAUCUUGCGCAAUGGGCGAAGGCCUGACGCAGCGACGCCGCGUGAGUGAUGAAGGCCUUCGGGUUGUAAAGCUCUGUGGAGGGGGACGAAUAAGUGUCGUCGAAUAGACGGCAUGAUGACGGUACCCCUUUAGCAAGCACCGGCUAACUCUGUGCCAGCAGCCGCGGUAAGACAGGGGGUGCAAACGUUGUUCGGAAUUACUGGGCGUAAAGCGCGUGUAGGCUGCUCCGCAAGUCGGGUGUGAAAGCCCUGGGCUCAACCUAGGAAGUGCACUCGAAACUGCAGAGCUGGAGUCCUGGAGAGGAAGGCGGAAUUCUCGGUGUAGAGGUGAAAUUCGUAGAUAUCGAGAGGAACACCGGUGGCGAAGGCGGCCUUCUGGACAGUGACUGACGCUGAGACGCGAAAGCGUGGGGAGCAAACAGGAUUAGAUACCCUGGUAGUCCACGCCGUAAACGAUGGGUGCUAGGUGUCGCGGGCUUUGACCCCUGCGGUGCCGUAGC